AUUCCAUUAUGUAUAUGGAAAAUUCCAAAUAACAUUAUUUAACUAUCCCCUUCAUCUCCAAAGGCUCCACAGUCAAGGAUUGCAUUAUAGCUGUAAACGGGCUAGUGAUCUAUCACAACAACAAGUUGAAGACACUACUGGCCACGCUCAACAAAGAGACCAAGGAUUCGACUUUCAUGUUCAUUGAUUACUACAACGCCUUCUUGACCGUUUUCAAGAACAAUGGAGAGACUCCAGGAGUACGCGGUUUAAAACUCCGUUGAAAGAAUGUUGAGGAGGUGUUUGUGGGGUUGUGGACGAGAAAGGUCAGAAGAACUAUACCUUAUGCGAUGAUCCUAAGUCUACUUUCUUCUGGGAUGUACUUCACCCUACUCAGGCAGGAUGGAGCUCGGUUUACGCGGUUUUAGGCAAAAAUCUAACUGCAUCUUUGAUGAAAGCGUAAAUCCACUUAUCGUGAUCAAAGAACCGAAAUGGGUUCGAGAUUAACAAAAUUCUUCUUCUGUAGUUCGGUGUGUUUUUCUUCUCUUAUAUCUUUGUUAUCUCUCCCUCUUCUUUCGUUUGUGCUUGCAAGUCUUUGUGCCUC
rnacentral:sRNA from 1 species